UUUCUCUUUCCCUCUCCCUUCCUCUCUGAAAUCAAUAAAAAAAUAUAUGAAUAAAUAAACCAUAGUUCUAUUGAUAAAAUAAAUUUUCAUUUGGAAGAUUUUUUCCCCCUCAACAUUUUUAAGCCUCUCACCAGACUGAGGGUUGGGGGAAAUCUAUAAACCCAAAAACAUGGAAAUAAUAUAUAGCAAUAUAUAUAUAUAAUGGCAAACUUAAGGACUGCUAUACUGAUAGAACAGAGUAUCUGAUAACAAAAAGGAACUAUCAAGAACUUAAAAAAAAUUUUUAAGUAAGGAAAAGGCCAGUUUCACCACUUGUUUAAAACUACUUUUCUACUUCUUGUUACAUGUGUGAGUCUGUUUUCUAAACAAAUAUAGUACAAAGAGAAUGAAAACUCUUUGGUAUAAAGUGUUUGUAUCUCAGCACAAGUGAGGGUGCUGUAUGUUUAUGUGAAAAUGUUUAGCUGAACACACAAAUAGGCAGUUAUUAGAAAAAUAAUCUAAUAAAUCAUUCUGUCUACUA